ACACUUUUUUAUAGACACCCUGCAGCCAAUCAGAUUUGAGUAUUCACCCAGACCAUGGUAUAAUCCUUGAUAAGACACUGCUAAC